GCCCCAACCCCUCUCCC
rnacentral:miRNA from 1 species